UCUCCCAAACUUAAUGGCCCAUUUGAAGACCAGAAUUUCGAUGAUGAAAUCUGGGAGUGAAAGUUAGGAAAAAGUCAAUAAUAGUGAACCGGCCUUAUAUGACCAAACCGACAUCUGUAUCUUUUUUCAGAAAGAAUUGCUCCUAGACACUGUUAUGUAAUAUCCGACACAAAUACUCAGCCUCCCAAAAGAACACACAUGUAGAAAAUAGAUAGACAAAGCGGUAAAGAAUGAUCGUGACGUGAUGCAGCACUUGCGAGAAAAAUAACGUUCAUUCCCUCUUCGUAUGUCGAAGUCGUGACAUUCAGAAAACUUGAAAAAAUCAGUGGCAAUGACUUGUUAUUUUCUCAAUACCCCUUAACUGAGCUCCGGCCAAUAGAUGAGUCUGACGUCCUUUUCGCACAGACUAGUUCGGAUAGAGACAAUGUUAUACUGAAACUCAGAUUAUACAGAGAAAAAAAUAAUUCGUUGGAUUUUCGGAGGAACAGAAACCCUUCCAGGCAAUAUGAUUUGCGUCAGUGGAGAUGCGUUUAACUGAUCACCGGGCGGUAACGGAGUGGAAAAAGCACUACUCAUCAGAUCGCCAAGUAUGCCGAAAUAGUUUGGAUCGAAUGUAAAUGUAAACAUGAGAUGUUCAGUUACAGCUUCAUGGUGACCGUGA